rnacentral:tRNA from 1 species
AGGAGCAUAGCUCAGUGGUAGAGUGCUUGUAUAGCAUGUACAAGGCCCUAGGUUCAAACCCCAGUGCUGCCC